AGUGGGAUGGCUGAGAAUAAUAAGUAGGCGAUAGGCUGUAAAUCUAUCUAGGAGUAUGUACGUUGCUCUUCCACUA
rnacentral:tRNA from 1 species